rnacentral:sRNA from 1 species
ACAGACAGCGAUCCUAAUUCAAAUUUGAUAGAACUUUGAUAGUUCUACUUGCGAUUCUUGUUAACUGCAAUUUUGUAAUUUCAGAGCUUAAAGAUCACGUGAAAAGCCGAGAAAAGCAGCAUGAAUCCGUGCGACCUUCCACCUUGCCCGCCGUGCCCGCCGCCGCCUCCGUACCCUGUGUGCCCGCAAACCUGUCCACCAGGGCCGCCGCCACCACCCAGCCGCUCUAAGCCUACGAUGAGAGGGCUACAUUGGUCUCAGACCAAACGCAAGAUUCUUCAAGCAAUCAUUGUGUCUGUAGCUGCGGGCGCCUGCGUCUAUGUCUUCCUUGGUUCCCGUAGAAGGGAGACCUACAGGGACUUUUAUUCAAAAGGUGAAUUUGAUGAGUGGGCUCAUGAAAUGGCCAUCAAAGGAUUGUUUCAAGGGGUGCCUGCGUCUUCUUUGAAAGAAUAAAUAGUCGACUUAUGAAGACAUUCCAUCGUUGCAAAAAGUUAAUUAUAUUUAACGAACGUUUGCAGUCUCGUUAGUUCUUUUUAUUAGUUAUUAAUUGAGAUAUACUGAGCAACUUACUAAAUAAAUA